rnacentral:rRNA from 1 species
AUUGAACGCUGGCGGCAGGCCUAACACAUGCAAGUCGAACGGUAACAGGAAACAGCUUGCUGUUUCGCUGACGAGUGGCGGACGGGUGAGUAAUGUCUGGGAAACUGCCUGAUGGAGGGGGAUAACUACUGGAAACGGUAGCUAAUACCGCAUAACGUCGCAAGACCAAAGAGGGGGACCUUCGGGCCUCUUGCCAUCGGAUGUUCCCAGAUGGGAUUAGCUAGUAGGUGGGGUAACGGCUCACCUAGGCGACGAUCCCUAGCUGGUCUGAGAGGAUGACCAGCCACACUGGAACUGAGACACGGUCCAGACUCCUACGGGAGGCAGCAGUGGGGAAUAUUGCACAAUGGGCGCAAGCCUGAUGCAGCCAUGCCGCGUGUAUGAAGAAGGCCUUCGGGUUGUAAAGUACUUUCAGCGGGGAGGAAGGGAGUAAAGUUAAUACCUUUACUCAUUGACGUUACCCGCAGAAGAAGCACCGGCUAACUCCGUG